AGGUCACUGUGAACUUUCGCUUGAAGCUUUGUUGGCCGCUGGACAUGACAUCUAUCCACUCUCAUGCUAUGAACAUUGGCUUGAAGCUUUGUUGGCCGCUGUGACCAUGAACUAUUAUCCAACUCCAGCGGGACGAAGCUGCAUUGCAUUGCAUCUGCAUGCAUACAGGUCACACCGUGGGACACAAUUUAUUGGAUCGGCUGCCCCAGCUGAAAAUACCAACUCCUGAUUAUAUAUUAUUAAUUUAUUAUACAUACAUAUCCCAACCAGCUGUGUAGAUUGUUUGGCCCCGCCUUCUCCUUAUGCAGUUUGUCCUCUGCAAAGUACGAGCAGAUCAAAAGAGUCGCUGGAGCCGCUGUCUGCCUGGCCUCACUCUAGAGGAGCUGGUCCUGCGCUUUGAGAGUGUGUUCAGCGGCGGCGGAUAGCAAGCAUGCGGCCUUGUCCGAAAACUUUUCAAGAUUUCUCUAUCAAUCUUACUCCAUAUAUAUAGAGCAUUGAUAUAGAUAAAAAACAUAACUAUUUACAUAAUUUACCUGUAAAUCGUGAGAUAAAUCUUUUAAGUCUAUUUAGUCUUGAUUGAACACUAAUUACUGAAUACAAAUCACGUGUGCCGUGUGCGUGCCCGGCGCCCCUGCACUGCAUGCUCUGCUUCUACCUCUGCUUCUGGCUUCUGGAGCUGUCGUCGUCCAAGUUGGCCUCUUGGGCCAGCAGCCAGCUCUAUCCGCCUUCACAUACCAUACGUGCAUGAACCUGCGAUAAGAACCUUGGACUUGGACCUGACCAGCUGGGUUGCGUGGGGUUCUUGCCAACUUCGGUCUUGUUUAGUUUCGAAAAAAUUUCGGAUGAUGGUACUGUAGUAUUUUCGUUUGUUUGUGACAAAUAUUAUUCAAUUAUGGACUAACUAGGAUUAAAAGAUUCGUCUCGCGAUUUACAGCUAAACUGUGUAAUUAGUUGUUGCUUUCGUCUAUAUUUAAUGCUUCAUGCAUGUGCCGCAAAAUUUGAUGUGACGAGGAAUCUUAAAUUUUUUUUGCUUUUUGAGGUGAACUAAACAAGGCCGAAAACGAAUGCCCCAUGGUGGUCCUGUCCCGAUUGGAAUUGGAUGCAGGACGAUGCUUAUUUGCAGCCAUGCCUGCAUGCAUGAGAGUAUGAGACCAUGCAUUCGGGGGUUUGACCCUUGAUCGGAUAUGGUGGCUUUUCUCGCCUUGCAUGCUGGGAGACGCAUGUUCAUGGCACCAUGCGUGCGUGUACGGUGGCGCCAAGCCAUGGGGAUGGGGUGCCCGCCUCCCACCUGUGUGCGGGGGUGGGUGUUACGCACGUCUGCGUUUAAAGGAGGAGAUUCCUUUAAUUUCCUAAGGAUGGUCUUUUAAGUAUGCUUUUUAAUUAAGGAAAGAGAGCAUUGUGAAACAACAUUACUAUAAGUUAGGAUUUCUUUUCAACCCACGCCCUCAGGCACAUCCAUCUCUAUAAACACACUGUAUCCGGCCUACACUAUAUUAGGUUAGCUCAUUUUAGACGAGACUCAACCUACAUCACAUGCUCGUAACAAACGUGUCUGAGAAUUUGUCUCUUAUAUGACUACAUACACGUAUAGACGAAGACAAAUCGUGUCAAUGAUAACGACAAAAUGCAUUUGUGAUAACUUCUCAUCACAUAUGUAUAUAGACAAAACACAUCUAUGAUGAUUUCACAUCAUAAAUGAAUGUGUCUCUAAUUAGAAUCGACAAAGGUGAAAUUCUUCGCGUCCGAAUAUUCGGACAUCAGCGCUAGGUCGAUGAUCUUCCCGUGCAUAUUUCCCAAGCUCUGACGCAUCCCGCGCGAAGACGAAGGACGCUUCCUGCCCCAACAGGCGCCAGGUACGUAAUACAUACAUACGUUUUCUUUUUUUUUUUCUUAUUCUUCUCUUUUCUUUUCUUCCAGCGCAUAAUUAAUUAUUUUAUUUGCAUUAUUUUAUUUUUGUUUUUAUAUUUACUCUUUUUGUUUUUCUUUCUCUUUUGCUUUAAUGUUUUGUAUAGAUUUUUCUUUUUUUCUUUUAUCCUCUUUCUUUGCUUAUUUUUAUUUUUGCCUUUUCUUUUUUUUUCUUAUUCUUCUCUUUUCUUUUCUUUUUUUCUUCCCGCGCAUAAUUAAUUAUUUGUUGGCUUUAUUUUAUUUUUGUUUUUAUAUUUACUCGUUUUGUUUUUCUUUCUCUUUUGCUUUAAUGUUUUGUAUAAAUUUUUCUUUUUUUCUUUUAUCCUCUUUCUUUGCUUAUUUUUAUUUUUGCCUUUUCUUUUUUUAUUAUUCUUCUCUUUUCUUUUCUUUUGUUUUCUUCCCGCGCAUAAUUAAUUAUUUGUUUGCUUUAUUUUAUUUUUGUUUUUAUGUUUACUCUUUUGUUUUUCUUUCUCUUUUGUUUUAAUGUUUUGUAUAGAUUUUUCUUUUUUCUUUUAUCCUCUUUCUUUGCUUAUUUUUAUUUUUGAAUUUUAUUUUUUCUUUUCUUCAUUCUAUCAUUUCCAUUCUUAUUUUCAUUUUAUAUUUAUAUAUUUCUUUUUAUCAUUAUUUUCUAUGCACAUGUUUCUUAUUGUUUUGUUAAUUAUUAUUAUUGUUUUAUUUCCUUGCUUCUAUUUGUUCUUCCUUUUUCUAUUUUAGUUUUCUAUAUGUUUUCAUUUUCAUUUUCUUUCUUAUUAUUUUCAUUUUCAUUUUCUUUCUUAUUUCUAUUUUCCUUUGUUUUUUAAUUUUUAAUUUAUUUUUUUUCUCUCUUUUCAAUUUUAUUUUUACCAUUGUUCUUUAGGUUAUUCAUUUAUUUUAUUUUACCCUAUAUAUUUAUUAUUUAUUUUUACAUUUACUGCAUUUUCUUUGGUUCUAUUUAUUAUUUCUUUAGUGUUGUUCACGUAAUAUAUAUGCAAUGUUCUAGGAAGUAUUUAGUGAUGUUCUAUAAUAUUUUAGUGUUGUUUCAUGUAUUAUAUAUGCGAUGUUCUAAAAUAUAUUUUAAUGAUAUUCUAUGAUGGAUUUUAUGAUGUUCACUUAGAAUACAUUUGAUGUUCUAAGUAUAUUUUAGGAUGUUUGAAGUUUCCAUAUUGUUCUUUUAAAUUUUUAUAUAUUGUGUUUUUUAUUUUUUCUUAUGUACUGCUCUAGUUUUUAUUAUUUUUAUUUAUGUUAGGUAUUUAUUUAUCUUCACGUGGUAUACAUGUGAUGUUCUCUAAUGUAUUUUGUGAUACUCAUGUAGUGUAGAUGUGAUAUUCACGUAGUAUAUAAUGAUGUUCUAUGAUAUUUUUUGUGAUGUUCUAGUAGUAUACAUGUGGUGUUUUAAGAUGUUUGAUGUUCUCGUGGUAUACCAAUGAUGAUGAUGAUGUUUUUAGUGAUGUUCACACGAUAUACAUGUGAUGUUCUAUGAUGUAUUUAGUGAUGUUCAUGUAAUAUAUAUGUGAUGUUCUAUAAUGUUUUAAGUGUUGUUCUAUAGUGUAGUUAGUGAUGCUCACUCAGUACUAUAGUAUAUUUUAGAAUGUCUGAAAAGUAUCCAUGAGAUGCUCUUUUUAUUUUUUCUCUAUUAUAUGUUUUUAAUUUUUUUCCUUACACAUUGCUCUAGAUUUUAUUUUUUUUUAUUUAUGCUAUGUAUUUAUUUAUUUAUUUAUAAUUAUAAUACCAAUACAGUUCUUAGAAUAUUUUCUUAUGAAGACGCAACAUUGUUUUUAAACCUAAAACAUCAUCUCAGCUCAAUAUAAAAAUGUUCUAUUUUUAUAUGAUAAAUAUUCGUUAUUAAAAUUUUAUCUAAAUAUAUUUAUCUUGUUUUGAUGGAUUUAUUACAAGAAAUCUUUGGUGUAAUCUGAAUUUAAUUUGGAUAUUUUAUUUAGGAGUUAUGACUUUUUGUUGUUUGUUGAAAGCCAUUGCGUGCAUGCGUUGUAGCUGAAGUGGAUAUGCUGCUGCACUAUCUCCUCGCACCAGCUGCGCAUAGAAAAGCCGCGAGCCAAAAUUAAUUAGUGUGGAUGAGAAGAAAUACGUGCGAGCACGGACCAUAGAAAAAGUACAGCAGAAAUUCAAUUUAGAAACAGUGUGCUGAAGCAGUUUGAGAAUGACGCGCGCUGCAGAGGCAAACAUAAUUUUCAGCGCUGAAACCAGCGGAAACCAUCACACCGGAAACCGCCGGACGGUGGAUCCCGUUCGAACAGCCGGACUCUAAGAGAAAGAAAAGAAAAAUUUUCACGUGCUAGGGUUUUAAAUCUCUUGCUAUACUUGCUACUAUCUCAAGAUAUAGAUGUUUGAGGAGAGUAUAGCUAUUUACUUCCAGAUUUAGUUGCUAUAGCGUGAUUUAAAUGGCUAUUACCUAUUUAUGAAAGCACAUAGCUAAAUGUCAUAUCUGCCGAUUUAAAACACGAGCACACAUUAUGUAAAGAUGUUUUCAUGGCUUGGAAUUGAUUGCAUGCAUAAAUAAUUUGUGCUAUGCACACAUUUGUGAGGUUUUUAUGCUAUUUAACGUAUAUAUGAAUGGCUUAGUUGGAAGAUAAAUAUAUUCACCGCGUAGGACCUCGGAAUCUGGAAGGCAAAAUGGCUUACUCCCUUUGUCCUGAAAUUGAAGAUUGAAAUAUAUCCUAAAAUAUAGUAUAUUCAAAGAACAAAAGAUAAUGUUUAUUUAAAUAAAAAUAUGUGAUAGUUUGUAUCAGGAAGUAAUUCAUGUAAUUGCCAUAUUUUGUAUAAAAAGACUAAGAGUUCACCCUUUAGUCAUGCGGAAUAGAAUAAGAUUUUAAUAGAUUAGGAAGGUAAGUGAGUGGUACAUGCAUUUCUUGCAAUCACUAUAUUUCAGAAUGGAGGGAGUAGUACACUAAUGGAGGGAGUAGUACACUAGCUAGCACAAAUUACUAUAUAAUUGCGGGUUCUAGACACCACAGUGAUAAAAAAUAGAAAAUAUUUGCGUUUACAAAAUUUGUACUCAGUUCAUAUUUUUUUGAGCAUCCAUACCAUCUAAGCUACAUGAUACUUGCGACUAUACAACUAAUGCAAUUCUUCUAACUAUACAAUUAUAAAUCUUAUAUUAUAUAUUUGACACUCUAAAUAAUUUCAAAAAAAAUGUUGUAACUACAAAUUCUAAGGAGGAGCCUUGGUGUAUAUAUAAUGAAGAAGGAGAAACGAAGGAGUGUAGGGGAAAGAGCUCUAGGGAUGGUGCCACUCCUUCCUUGCAUGUGGGCCCCAUUGGCCCGACCGUUAGAGGGGGAGGGUGUUCUAGUCCCCCAUAUCAUCGUGCCGCCACUGUGGUUGGCGGUGGCGACGUGCUGCCUAUUUAGCUACAGGCCCCUUUAUCAAAGCACGUAGCGUGGCUUGCGGUGCCCUCCGGCCUUUAAUUAUGUUAGGGUCGUAUCAGGACUAAGUGGUAUAGUGCUACGCGCUUAGAACCACAACAUCAACGCACCCCAGGAAUUGAUAUCUCUAGCUAUCGAUAGCCUAGGGGUGCGCCAGCUUCCUUGUCAUGGUACGGGGUUGGCACGCCUCUUGUCCGCUUUCUUUUCUAGAGGAGGUGACAUAGGCCCCACUCCGAUCGGGUUGUCCCCCUUUCGACCCUUGACUUUCUUGAGCCGUCGGGCGAGCUGGAAACUCCCCUUGAGGGAUCGGAAGGGGGAGGGAUGGUGACUACGCGCUCCAUCGUCAGGCGUGACGGAGGACAUAUUCUCACCCUCAGACACACCUCCCUUAUUUCCCAGGGGUCGAGGGAGGCAGUGCGCACCCUCUAGUUGUCAGAUUGGGCUGGGGUUGCCGAUUGGGUCACCUGAUUUGAACCAGACCUCCUCUGUGAAGGCCUAGGAUCGGGCGUGGUUACUUAAGCGAACCUCGUAUCAAUAGUUUAGCCCCCGGAUUGGAGACGCUAAUAUUGAUACUCGACACAUACCAUCUAAUUAAGCUACAUGAUACUUGGGACUAUACAACUAAUACAACUAUACAAUUCUAAAUCUUAUAUUAUGUAUUUGCCACUCUAAAUAAUUUCAAAUGAAAUAUUGUUAACUGCAAAAUUCUAGAUCUCAUCGAGUACUCAAAUUUGAUGUUGACUUUGGCUCUAUUCGACAUUGAUCAUAGUGAUAGUCUGACAGUAAUUAUCUUGCAGAGGGUAGUGGUAUAUAUCACCUCUAUUUUCCGAGGAACAAAAGCUAUCUACUACAUAAUAGCCCUAGCUACUCAGUCUAACCCUAGCUAGAAAUGCUUCAGUAGAUAAGCAAAGCUUAUGCUGGAGCAGUGGGAAUGUGGCAUGCACGCAGAAGAUUAGAAUCUCCGUUGAAAAAGACACAAAGUCAUGAGAGAACAAAGAAAAGAACAAGUUCUCCCAUGCAUGCUCUAGUCCAAGCUACCAAGCAAUGUGAGGGGACCAAAUUACACACGACAAGCACAACAAGCCUCCAAGAGCUGGAGACUGCAAAAGGAGUAAGAUUACAUCUAAAGCUAAACUGCACAUCAAAGCACCAAAGAUAUAAAGAGAGACAAGACAAGGGCUAUGUCUAAGCUUAACUGGCACUACAGAGCCUUGGCCAUCCACUAGUAGUUGGUAAAGUACUAGUAGUAGACUAGUAGUUUCCAUGUUGUUAUCACUGGAUACCGUUUUGGUUUUGAUGUACUUUUGAUCUGCCUGCUGCUAACUGAUUUUGGUCCUGAUUUUAGUGACAAGGUUUGCAAAAUGAUGGAGUGCUCCGCACUGCCCACCCUCCAAGUUUUCUUUUGUUUAAGUAUCCGUUGAAUACAACUUUUUUCCUCUGUAUCUAAAAAAAAUCAGGGUGCAUGCUAAGAAAUUUUCAUAAUUUUGUCACAAAAAAAGGCGAUUUGAAUUAUAUAGAAAUAUAUGAAGAAACAAAAAACAGUUAAAUAUAGCAAAGAAAUUCAAAAAGGUCUCAAACUUUGAAAUAGAGUUUCAAAUAGUCUCACAAAGCCUCAAAAAAAAAAAAAAAAACUAGGUCAAAAAUCAAAUAAUUUUUUUUUGCCGAGUGCCUGGCCAGCUGGCACUCGGCAAAGAAUUAGCCUUUGCCGAGAGCCAAACGGUAGGCGCGCGGCAAAGGGGACGGCGACGUGGGCCGUUACACGGACAACCACUUUGCCGAGAGCCGAGAGCCUGUCCUCGGCCCUCGGCAAAGGCGGCUUUGCUGAAUGCUUGACAUGGCACUCGGCAAAGGACAGUCUUUGCCGAGUGCCUGCGCCAUGGCCCUCGGCAAAGAGGCGGGCGCUCGGCAAAGAAAGAAAUUCCUGUAGUGAUGGCGAUCGAUGUAUAAACUACUUCUCACCGUCAUUUAAUCCGAUGCUUCAUGCAGCCUGGUCCCUACCUUGAUUAUUUGAACCCUGGCCCUUCUGUGUACAGAAAACUCAUACAAAGUUUUAUAUAAUGCGUAUAUCAUCGAUCACUCUUGUACAGUGUGGUUCUUUUAGGGUGUCAAGGAAUAAAGAGGAUUCUUAUGUGUCUAAUUUGAUAUGAUGUUUCUAUGAUCACUAAACUUUAUUCCCUUUAUUAUAUAUUGUGCAUUUGUGGUGGAACAAAGUGGCCAAGCUAGCUAGUUACUAUUGGCUAACAAGCUUUUGGCCCGGGUAUGUAACAAGCUUUUGGCCCGGGUAUGUAACAAGCUUUUGGCCCGGGUAUGUAAGAACAAGCAAGAGCAAAGGUCUGUGAAUGAACAACACCACUACGCCUAACACUGGUGCACGCAAAGAGCUAGUAACUGAACAAAGGUGAUAAAAGAUUAUGUGAGCUCGCAACUGACGUUUCACUGGAAGAGGCAACGAUGUGAGGCCACCCAAUCGCUUUGCUAUCAGCCUAUCACUCAGUUUUGUUCUUUAUCUCCACGUACGGCCAUGGACAGUCCAUGUGUGUUAGUUUGUGAUAUGUAUGCAGAAUAUGCCGUUUGGAUCAAAUAAUUGGAUGGAUGCAUGCAUGCACAUGUGUGUGCAUUGUUGAAGUGAAGGUGACUUUAGUUCUUAUCAGUUUUUCUUUUGUAUGUUCCUAUCAAGAAAAUAAAUAAAUAAAUUGCUUUUGCUUGUGGGGACAUACAUAUGGAUGAUUGAGAUUGCAAGGAAGG
rnacentral:lncRNA from 1 species